GUGGGGAAUCUUGCGCAAUGGGCGAAAGCCUGACGCAGCCAUGCCGCGUGGAUGAUGAAGGUCUUAGGAUUGUAAAAUCCUUUCACCGGUGAAGAUAAUGACUGUAGCCGGAGAAGAAGCCCCGGCUAACUUCGUGCCAGCAGCCGCGGUAAUACGAAGGGGGCUAGCGUUGCUCGGAUUUACUGGGCGUAAAGGGCGCGUAGGCGGACAUUUAAGUCAGAGGUGAAAGCCCAGGGCUCAACCUUGGAAUUGCCUUUGAUACUGGCUGUCUUGAGUUUGGGAGAGGUGAGUGGAACUCCGAGUGUAGAGGUGAAAUUCGUAGAUAUUCGGAAGAACACCAGUGGCGAAGGCGACUCACUGGCCCAAUACUGACGCUGAGGCGCGAAAGCGUGGGGAGCAAACAGGAUUAGAUACCCCGGUAGUCC
rnacentral:rRNA from 1 species